rnacentral:rRNA from 1 species
GACGAACGCUGGCGGCGUGCUUAACACAUGCAAGUCGAACGGAAAGGCCCUGCUUGCAGGGUACUCGAGUGGCGAACGGGUGAGUAACACGUGGGUGAUCUGCCCUGCACUUCGGGAUAAGCCUGGGAAACUGGGUCUAAUACCGGAUAGGAGCCAUUUUUAGUGUGAUGGUUGGAAAGUUUUUUCGGUGUAGGAUGAGCUCCCGGCCUAUCAGCUUGUUGGUGGGGUAAUGGCCUACCAAGGCGGCGACGGGUAGCCGGCCUGGGAGGGUGGACGGCCACAUUGGGACUGAGAUACGGCCCAGACUCCUACGGGAGGCAGCAGUGGGGAAUAUUGCACAAUGGGCGCAAGCCUGAUGCAGCGACGCCGCGUGGGGGAUGACGGCCUUCGGGUUGUAAACUCCUUUCGCUAGGGACGAAGCUUUUUGUGACGGUACCUAGAGAAGAAGCACCGGCUAACUACGUG